rnacentral:rRNA from 1 species
UGCGACUGUUUAAUAAAAACACAGCACUCUGCAAACACGAAAGUGGACGUAUAGGGUGUGACGCCUGCCCGGUGCUGGAAGAUUAAAUGAUGGGGUGCAAGCUCUUGAUUGAAGUCCCAGUAAACGGCGGCCGUAACUAUAACGGUCCUAAGGUAGCGAAAUUCCUUGUCGGGUAAGUUCCGACCUGCACGAAUGGCGUAACGAUGGCCACACUGUCUCCUCCUGAGACUCAGCGAAGUUGAAAUGUUUGUGAUGAUGCAAUCUCCCCGCGGAAAGACGGAAAGACCCCAUGAACCUUUACUGUAGCUUUGUAUUGGACUUUGAACAGAUCUGUGUAGGAUAGGUGGGAGGCUUUGAAGUGAGGACGCUAGUUCUCAUGGAGCCAACGUUGAAAUACCACCCUGGUGUGUUUGAGGUUCUAACCUAGGUCCAUUAUCUGGAUCGGGGACAGUGCAUGGUAGGCAGUUUGACUGGGGCGGUCUCCUCCCAAAGCGUAACGGAGGAGUUCGAAGGUACGCUAGUUACGGUCGGACAUCGUGACGAUAGUGCAAUGGCAUAAGCGUGCUUAACUGCGAGACUGACAAGUCGAGCAGAUGCGAAAGCAGGACAUAGUGAUCCGGUGGUUCUGUAUGGAAGGGCCAUCGCUCAACGGAUAAAAGGUACUCUGGGGAUAACAGGCUGAUACCGCCCAAGAGUUCAUAUCGACGGCGGUGUUUGGCACCUCGAUGUCGGCUCAUCUCAUCCUGGGGCUGUAGCCGGUCCCAAGGGUAUGGCUGUUCGCCAUUUAAAGAGGUACGUGAGCUGGGUUUAAAACGUCGUGAGACAGUUUGGUCCCUAUCUUCCGUGGGCGCUGCAGAUUUGAGGAAGCCUGCUCCUAGUACGAGAGGACCGGAGUGGACACACCUCUGGUGUAUCGGUUGUCACGCCAGUGGCAUUGCCGAGUAGCUAAGUGUGGAAGAGAUAACCGCUGAAAGCAUCUAAGCGGGAAACUCGUUUCAAGAUGAGAUCUGCCGGGGCCUUGAGCCCCCUAAAGAGUCGUUCAAGACCAGGACGUUGAUAGGCUGGGUGUGGAAGCGCAGUAAUGCGUUAAGCUAACCAGUACUAAUUGCUCGUGCGGCUUGACCCU